AUCCCGAAAAAUAUUUGUAUGUUUCUGCAACGCAUUGUAUAUGUAUGUACGUAAGUAUAUAGGAUUCAUACGUUAAAAUAAAAUAAAUGGGUAGAUAAUUAAUUUAUUCGAAAAGUGUACAUUAUACAGAUUCAAGAGAGAAUAAUUUCUCCAAUAUAAUAACAGCGUUUAUAAAUGUUAAUAGCAUUUAUUACAUAUGUUUAAUCUUAUUUCUACAAUGAUAGCGUCUAUUAUUUUUACUGUUCAAACAUAUCCCUGUAAUUCCUAUAUUAAAGGAUUCAUUAAAUAUUCAUGGUUUUUUUCUGAAUUAUUUUCCAUACGAAAAAUCAGAUUAUCUGCCGUUAGGAUUAUCGAAGGGAAAGAAAAAUAUAUUAUGAGCCCGUAUUUGUGUGGAAACGUCCAAGUACCUUUACCAACGUCCAUUUCCGAGAUCUCCACGUUUGGUUAGUUUAAUUACAUUAUUCCCAUUAUAAUCGAAUUCAUAUAGGUUUAUUUAACAGUACUUUGAUUUUUGAAGCAGUGUACUUAAUCAAGUUGGUCUAUAGAUGAUGGCAUACAUUCUGUUAUAAAAUUUGUUGCUUGAUGAGUAAAUUUAUCAUUUCCUGACUAAGAUAGUUUGCAUUCAAGUAAUUAGACCCCUUAUUAUUCUUUGAAAUAUGCAAGUCUCCAUCUGUUUUUAGGCGGAUUCCAUUAAAUCUAGGAUGAUUUCUGCAACGUUUAAGUUAUAAAAUAUAACAUUCAUGAUAUUUAAUGGAAUUAUAAUUAAUAAAAGGUAAUAUCUUUGAACAUAUUUCUGAUCAUUAGUCUAGUAUUGAUAAAAUAUCUAAUUAGUCAUUAAAGAGGAGAUGGAAAUGUUCGAUAUAAGGAAGAAUCGUUUGAAAGAUUUCCUUAAGAAAAGAUUUUUCAUUCGAAUAUUGUAACUUAAAGAUUUGAGUAGGUUUCAUUACAGAAACCGCAUAGGAGAAGGAAUUUUUGAGAAAUUGCUAAAGUAAUAGUGAUAUAAAAAGUUAGCUAGACGUUCGUAACAAGUUCCGACAUUGGGUCUAACUUGUCAGACUUCGGAACGGUAACCGGAGAUAAAUGGAGGCAGAUUAUACAUCAUAUGAGAUUUCUCGCGCGAGUAUUAUCCAUCAUUGGAAGGAAAUAAAUGAUUCUGAUAUUUCUCUUAUUAAUGAAUAAGUCCUUUUAAGUAAGCGACGUGGUAUUAGAAAUACACGCGGUUUAUCCAUUAGUUUGAUUAUGCAAUAUUUAUAAAAAAUUAAUUUCUUUUAAUUGCAAACUUGUUAUAACAUUGUACAUAAUGAAAAGGAUAGGGAUAAAAGGAAGUAUAGAGAUGAAAUUUUUCAAUAAAUCAAAAUGUCGUAACUUACGCGCAAAUAAUUGUUGUAAAUAAUGGCGAUUAAAACAAUGAUAGCGAUAAAAGUUAGAAAACUCCAUCCUUGCCAUCCAUAAAAAGGAAUACUUGAAUGAAAAUCGGAUUUCCUUGCACAAACACCCAUUGCUAUUAAUUUAUAAUUCGUAUAUUUGAAUAUUUUCUGAGAUAACAAAUUUUGCGGAUGAUUUGUUGAAAUUUUGUUAUUAUUUUUUUUUCUUUUAAAAAACGAGAGGUUAUUUUAUCGCCGAAAGCGUGCCAUGUUAUUGAUGUUACUAUAGACACUAGGCCGUGGCAAAAGUAAUAUUGAAAAAAACGUACCACUUUUACGACGACGAAGAUGACCGCUUCUAUUGUUUUUCGCAAUCGUCAACUCUUGAGAAUAUUUUUACUUUAGAUAAAAACAACUCGAGCUUUCGAGGGAAGGAGCAAAGAGAAAGUAUUAUGGCAUCCAGUUCUGGUGACGGUGAUUCCUUUGGUGUCCAGUAUCCGAACAAACAAAGACGUCGUUUCAGAAACCACACGUUUCGACAACUUUGAUUUCAAAAUAAAAACAUUCGACUAGGAUGUAUCAUUCAGUACGUUGACGAAGGAAACAAUACAGAGAACGGAACAUGGAAGUGGAUAAAUCCUGUGCUGGCAUAAAAAUUCUUCAAAAA